rnacentral:rRNA from 1 species
AGGGAAUGCGGCAGCUUACACAUGCAGUCGAGGGGUAACAGGAAGUGCUUGCACUUUGCUGACGACCGGCGCACGGGUGCGUAACGCGUAUAGAACCUACCUUAUAUUGGGGGAUAGCCCAGAGAAAUUUGGAUUAAUACCCCAUAGUAUUGGGAUGUGGCAUCACGACCUAAUUAAAGAUUUAUCGAUAUAAGAUGGCUAUGCGUUCUAUUAGCUAGUUGGUAUGGUAACGGCAUACCAAGGCGACGAUAGAUAGGGGUCCUGAGAGGGAGAUCCCCCACACUGGUACUGAGACACGGACCAGACUCCUACGGGAGGCAGCAGUGAGGAAUAUUGGACAAUGGAGGCAACUCUGAUCCAGCCAUGCCGCGUGCAGGAAGACUGCCCUAUGGGUUGUAAACUGCUUUUAUAGAGGAAGAAACCGCUCUACGUGUAGAGCUCUGACGGUACUCUACGAAUAAGGAUCGGCUAACUCCGUGCCAGCAGCCGCGGUAAUACGGAGGAUCCAAGCGUUAUCCGGAAUCAUUGGGUUUAAAGGGUCCGUAGGCGGAUUUGUAAGUCAGUGGUGAAAGUUUGCGGCUCAACCGUAAAAUUGCCAUUGAUACUGCAAGUCUUGAAUUAUUGUGAAGUGGUUAGAAUAUGUAGUGUAGCGGUGAAAUGCAUAGAUAUUACAUAGAAUACCGAUUGCGAAGGCAGAUCACUAACAAUAUAUUGACGCUAAGGGACGAAAGCGUGGGUAGCGAACAGGAUUAGAUACCCUGGUAGUCCACGCCGUAAACGAUGGUCACUAGCUGUUUGGACUUCGGUUUGAGUGGCUAAGCGAAAGUGAUAAGUGACCCACCUGGGGGAGUACGUUCCCAAGAAUGAAACUCAAAGGAAUUGACGGGGGCCCCCACAAGCGGUGGAACCUUGGGUU